rnacentral:lncRNA from 10 species
GAAUGGCUUGGUGCCCUUCUCCCUGGAAUGACUGAGUUCUUGCUCUGUUACUUCAUGCAAGAAGCAAUUGUUGAAGAGCCUGGCAACUCCUUUUUUCUUUCUUCCUCUCUCGCCAUGUGACAUGUUGGUUCCCCUUUCCCUUCUGCCAUAAGUGGAAGCUUCCUGAAGCCUUUACCAAAAGCAGAUGCCAUAUCCAUGUUUCCUGUGCAGCCUGCAGAACUGAGACCCCAUCCUCCAGAAUUCAAAGAAGAAAGUUGAACCCUUCUCACAUUAAGCCUAUCUGAAAAGCUGCUUUUAGAAACUCCAGUGCACACUCACACACCAUUAUAUGUUAUUUCAGGCUGGUGUAAUAAUAAAACUGUCA